rnacentral:rRNA from 1 species
UACGUAGGGGGCAAGCGUUGUCCGGAUUUAUUGGGCGUAAAGAGCGUGUAGGCGGUUUGGUAGGUCCGCUGUGAAAACUCGAGGCUCAACCUCGAGACGCCGGUGGAAACCAUCAGACUAGAGUCCGGAAGAGGAGAGUGGAAUUCCUGGUGUAGCGGUGAAAUGCGUAGAUAUCAGGAGGAACACCUGUGGUGUAGACAGCUUACUGGACCACUUCUGACGCUGAGACACGAAAGCGUGGGUAGCAAACAGG